UGCACCCCUUCACAAUAAUAGACCCAACCAGCUGUGACACGGUCACGCAAUGCAUUAGUAAUCACUUCAUCAGGUCAAGCUGAACAACCUGUAUAUCCAUAGAAAUUCAUUGUGAGUCAGUGUUUACUGGUUCAACUAAGGGAUGAAGCAUGUGUUAUCUUACAUUUAGAUUUAGAAAACAUUUACAUCUGUUGUUGAGAGAAUCAGGUUUCAGUUGUCUCUGAGGUUUGUCUUGUACCAAACUUGCUGCAUCAGUUCAAUGCAGACCAAAAAGAGUUGCUGGUUGGCACUGGCAGGAGUCCAGGAACCGGUUGUUAUAUUCACUGGCUGUGUUUCCCUCUUCAAACUUGGAGACAGUUUAUUUUGCCUUAUAUGUUACUUGUUCAGAAGCUGUCUCACUUCUGUAACAUUUGUUUGAUAUGUUGUUGUUGUUAUUCAUUUAAUUAAAUUAAGGUGAGCUCAAUGGAACUAGAAGCUGUUGUUAUUGUGUCUUAAGAUGUAUGCUGGCCUGGACAUGAUGAUCCCAUCUUGCAGUAACUAAUAGAUAAGCCGACCUCCUACAGAUUGCAUUUUUGGGUCCUCAAAAUUCGGCUUGUCUAUAGUAAUAUGCAGUACCAGUAAAGGUCUUCACCAGAUGGUACAGGGUUAUCCUGUAUGGGUGAGGUCUUCACCAGAUGGUACAGGGUUAUCCUGUAUGGGUGAGGCCUUCACCAGAUGGUACAGGGUUAUCCUGUAUGGGAGUGAGGUCUUCACCAGAUGGUACAGGGUUAUCCUGUAUGGGUGAUGUCUUCACCAGAUGGUACAGGGUUAUCCUGUAUGGGUGAGGUCUUCACCAGAUGGUACAGGGUUAUCCUGUAUGGGAGUGAGGUCUUCACCAGAUGGUACAGGGUUAUCCUGUAUGGGUGAGGUCUUCACCAGAUGGUACAGGGUUAUCCUGUAUGGGUGAGGUCUUCACCAGAUGGUACAGGGUUAUCCUGUAUGGGUGAUGUCUUCACCAGAUGGUACAGGGUUAUCCUGUAUGGGUGAGGUCUUCACCAGAUGGUACAGGGUUAUCCUGUAUGGGAGUGAGGUCUUCACCAGAUGGUACAGGGUUAUCCUGUAUGGGAGUGAGGUCUUCACCAGAUGGUACAGGGUUAUCCUGUAUGGGAGUGAGGCCUUCACCAGAUGGUACAGGGUUAUCCUGUAUUGGUGAUGUCUUCACCAGAUGGUACAGGGUUAUCCUGAAUCAGUCAGACCCUCCUGGAUUCCCCAGCAAAUUAAUGUAAAUUCUGCAUCCCAUUUUUUUCAAAAUUCUGCAGAAAAAUCUGCAGUUAAAUACCCAACAGAAAAUGAUAAAGAAUUUCAGUCUUUAAUUCUUAUACACAAAGCUGUAACUGGUUUAGAGCUUCAUGACAUUCAAGGUACAGCCAGCAGUUCGUUUUUUCUUGCAAGAUGAUUUUUAAAUUUACAAAGAUGGUCUGAAACAGUACUCUUACGAGUGUGAUCAGGAAAGAUAUUACAAACUCUACAAAAUGUUAUUUUGUUUGAUAGUCAUUCUUGUGAUAAUGAUUCAACUUUCAUAAUAAGUAAAUUCCAUGGCGUAUUCUGCAUGAAAAUGCGUUUUCCGCAGACCAGACGCUUUUCUGCAUUAAAAGGUAAUUUCCGUGAUUUAUUCUGCAACUGCGGAAUCCAGGAGGGACUGAUGAGUUAGGUCUUGACCAGAAGGUAAAGGGUUAUCCGGUAUAAGUGAGGUCUUCACCAGAUGGUGCAGGUAGACCAGCAUAUCAAAUGCAGUAACUGCCGGAUGGGCUGAACAUGUUUCAAAUCAGUACUUGUGAAAACAGCUUAUGUUAUCAUAUCAAUUGUGUUCUGUUAUAUCCUUCUGUUUUUUCCACAGGCAUUUGUUAUUAUUGUUUAUGUUAAAGAGCAUAUAUCGUACACUGGCUUCAGGGAGGUUUACUUGUCUUUGAGAGCAUAUGUUCCUAACAGGUGGUUACAUUGUUUACCUGUCUUUGAGAGCAUAUGUUCCUCACAGGUGGUUACAUUGUUUACCUGUCUUUGAGAGCAUAUGUUCCUCACAGGUGGUUACAUUGUUUACCUGUCUUUGAGAGCAUAUGUCCCUCACAGGUGGUUACAUUGUUUACUUGUCUUUGAGAGCAUAUGUUCCUCACAGGUGGUUACAUUGUUUACCUGUCUUUGAGAGCAUAUGUUCCUCACAGGUGGUUACAUUGUUUACCUGUCUUUGAGAGCAUAUGUUCCUCACAGGUGGUUACAUUGUUUACCUGUCUUUGAGAGCAUAUGUUCCUCACAGGUGGUUACAUUGUUUACCUGUCUUUGAGAGCAUAUGUUCCUCACAGGUGGUUACAUUGUUUACCUGUCUUUGAGAGCAUAUGUCCCUCACAGGUGGUUACAUUGUUUACUUGUCUUUGAGAGCAUAUGUUCCUCACAGGUGGUUACAUUGUUUACCUGUCUUUGAGAGCAUAUGUCCCUCACAGGUGGUUACAUUGUUUACUUGUCUUUGAGAGCAUAUGUUCCUCACAGGUGGUUACAUUGUUUACUUGUCUUUGAGAGCAUAUGUUCCCCACAGGUGGUUACAUUGUUUACCUGUCUUUGAGAGCAUAUGUUCCUCACAGGUGGUUAGAUUUUUGUUUACCUGUUUUUAGAAAAUAUUUACAACAUAUGGGAUAGGGAGGUUUACUUCACUUUAAGAACAUAUAUACAACACUUGGACUGAGGGAGGUUUACCUGUUUUUGUGAACCUAUGUAGAGUGUUAGGGAAGCUGUGGUUGAUAUUAAAGAGCAUAUAUAUAGCACUGAGGGUAUGGGAGUUACCUGUCUUCAAGAGCAUUUAUCCUCCACUUGAGGAGCAGGGAGAUGAGCCACCAUGCAUCAAAAAUGUCAAUAAAAUAGUGAUGACAACCAAAAGCAUCUGUGCAGAAGAGGAGGGGUCACGGUGGGGUAGCCUAGUGUUAAAAGCAUUUGCUUGUCAUGCCGAAGGCCCAGGUUCGAUUCCCCACAUUGGUACAAAGUGUGAAGCCCAUUUCUGGUGUCCCCUGCCAUGAUAUUGCUGGAAUAUUGCUAAAAGCGGCAUAAAACCCAAUUCACUCACUCACUCAUUCUCUUGUCAUAAGACUGUAUGGUGCCGUCUCCAUAAUGAACAACUAUAUCAAUGGCUUGACAUAGCUGUCUAGUUUUCAGUCAUGCUUGUUUGACCUCUAUUGAUACUAAAUCUUCUCACAACUCGUGGUAUGCAACAAGGUCUUGAAAUAAUGGAAUUUUAAAACUCAUGUGUGGAUCAUUCAUGUUUGGAUCAAUUAUAUGUGGAUCAGUUAUAUAAUGGAGGAUACCUGACUUCAAGAGCACGUAUCCUACACUGGGCAUGUAUGGAAUUUAAAAAAUUAUACAUGGAUCAAUUUUGAUGGCAAUUGAACUGGAUAUCAAAAUUGACAAAGCUCUAAAAUGUGUAAUUAAUUUGAGUGAAUUAUUUCCUUUUUCAAAUGCAAGAAAAAUCUUAGUUUUCUAUUUCAUAAAGACUCUUAUAUUGAAGAUAGUCUGGUUUGCAAUAAAAUAAAGCCUCCUGACUCGACUUUUACAUCUUUCAUGCAGCAAGUACUUUGAUAAACCACCCACAUUUUGUAAACAAAUGGUCCUACCCUCAAAAUAUCAGGACCAUUCUUUCAGAUCAUUGGAUAUCAAGAUGACUCCAGAACGGCUCCCUGGCCUCCUAAGUAUACAUAGAAAAGGAAGAUAUUUCUGUUAGGUGUGGCCUGUUGGGGGAUUGAACACUUGGUGUUUGUUUAACUUUCUAUACCUCAUUAACCUUACAAUAGGUGAAAGGUGACAGUGUUUAAUAACUACAACUAUCUGGGUCCAGGGUUUUAUGAAUAUACCAUAUCCAGGUGAUUGGAACACUAAUCAUACUGGUGUACUAUACUUAUCAGGUAGAACAGCAUAGAGUAUUUGUGUAUUUAUGUUUUACAUUAACUCAUAUCUCGGUGUUGAAGUUGACUGAUCUGUGGGAAGACUCUUUGUAAUAACUGAAACAAUCCUGCAUCUGGGACAGACAUGUUUGUGGUUGUCUUGACUGCUGGAAGCAUGGUAUGCGUGUCAGAUGGGCUGUUUGUAUUGUCACUUGACAGACUUGGUAAUUCAGAGAUCGGUUGCGUAACACCAUAGAAGGCUUGGAAGAAACAAAAUUAUAUAAUCAGUAGUUUAUAUAGAUUUAUGACUUAUUGACAAGUUAAUGACAGAUCUCUGUUGACUUUUGUCAAAACCAAGGACCCUUUUGUCAAAACCAAGGACUGCUAUUAUGAAGGAGAUGGGAUUGAACCUAUGUCCAACUGGGUGUGAUAUGAAACCAUUUCAUUGAUGUGACAGCAUGUCGGAUAGUUGAUCAUACAGCCCAACCUCCCAGAUCUGCCCACCCAGGUGUGGCUUGUUCUGGGCAAGUUGGUCAUACGACCCAAUCUCCCAGAUCUGCACACAGGGCUGUGGCUUAUUUCAGGCAAGUUAGUCAUACGACCCAAUCUCCCAGAUCUGCACACCCAGCUGUGGCUAGGCCAUGACUGCGGCUGAAGGAAGUACACCAGAACCAUAAAACCAUUACAAAUGUUUGUCAAAGUGCCUAUAUUGCAUUUGAGCUGACAGUGUAUCAAACUUUUCAGAAAUUGUUUUGUUUCCUUGUUUAUGAGCACCAGAGCUCAAAAUAUUGUACAUACAAUAUACACCAGUAUUAUAGAAUAUGAACUGUUUCAUGUAGAUUUGCUUCAGAAGUUUACAAGAUCACCAUUAAUCUCAAGAAUGUGAUUGAAUGUAAGAAGUAUUUGUAACACUACUUUUUUAACUGAAACAUAUUCUGUAUUUUCAACUCGCUUGCGUGCAAUAUGAACUGUGUUGCUAUGGUUACUGUGAUCUUGUAUAUAUCUCUCAAUGAUGUUUUCAUCAUUUUGGUAAAAUGAUUACCAGGAACUUUAGACAUAUAUUUUUAUACCAGAGAAGCUAUUUUUCCUGGCUCUUGACUUUGAAUGGUUACAUGUUUUAUUGUUGUUCCUGUUAAAUCUUCCAUAAGAAUGCUUUGAAACUUUCAAUCUCUGCUCAAAUCUGUUGUCUCUGUGUCUUUCUUCAAACAAGUGAUGUCAAAAUAAGCUCUAUUUUGGUAUCUUUUUAAAUGUGUUACAUGAAGUGACUGCUUAUGAGAAACCACACACACACACUCUACACAUAUGCAUGCAAUCAAGUUUGGCUGCACCUCUUGUUGGAUCUUCUCCAUUAGAUCUUAUUUAUUGUAUGACAAUAUGAAUAGGCUAUGCCAUUUAGAAAGAGGUCACACGUUAUAUUUUGGAUUACUGUGUUAGUGUGCUGGGAGUUAGGUGCUUGACUCUGAGGGUGUGGGUUCGAAUCCCAAAUGGGACUGAACCUGUCAAAAGUACAAGCAUGUGUACUUUACUGAGAAAGUGUAAUCCAAAAUAUAACCUGUUACAUGUAUGAGAAUAGUUUACCAGUGUUUGUUUCUAAAGAGCGAUGAAGCUGUUGCAAACAUUCAAACUUGGCUCUCCCCCAUAGUAAUCCACAGCUUGACCAGAAGGAAGGUAUUUUCAACUUAUCACUUAGGUUAGCAUUUAAUGAAGUUCUGACAGCCUCUCAAGACUCAGUGUCUCAAUACUUCAUAUUCUCUUCACUGAGAUGGAAUAUUUCUAUAUUUCGCUGAACUGUCUGUAUAAAAUUCAUCUGUGAAUAAAUCCUUUCUGUGUGUAAUCAGCCCUAUUGUCAGCUGUGGGCAGUGCACAGCUGUCCAUAAAACAAACAGAAAUCAAUUUGUCUAGCUUAGAAUGUGUGCAGUGUUCCCAAAAGUAAAUCUGAGAUUACAAAGAAUUCAAAGAAUACUUCAAUACGUUCAGUGCAGCUUAGGAAAAUUCAUUCUCUUGGAUAAGAGCUGAAAAACCUCCUAUAGUGAUGACUUACUGUAUCUGAUUCUCACUUGAAUUUAUCUACUUCAGGAGUGAAGUGCAGUAUUUCUCCAAUACAUUAUCAAACACUAUCAUUUUGCAUGUUAACACAAAUGUACACCACUAUGAAAAUAUCAAGGGCAUUAUUAACUGAUUUUAAUAUCAAAAUUUCAUUUAAGUAAGUUGUUAUUUAAAGCUCAAACAUAUAUUUUCAACAAUUAUUGUGGUAUUUGAAGUAUUCUUGAAGGUGAGACAUGUGAAGACAUUUGUCAAAAUAUUGACAUCAGAAUUAAGAAAAGCAAAAUCACUGAGUCACAUUUCUAAAUACCUGCUGAUGUUUCUGUGUAAUGAACUUCCUUCCAGAGAUGAAAGAACAUGUCAAACAAGAGAAAAUGAUAGUAACAGUAAACGUUGGGCUAAAGAACGGAUUUGAUAAUAAACCUGUUUCUUCAUCUGUAGUAAGUAGAUUGGCAUUAAUAUCAAGUCAGACCUGUUUGAAACUGACCUGAUGUCUCCUAUUUAACUUCAGUUUCAGGCAGCUUCUGCUUCAAGUGUAGUUUAUGUGACAGAGACUGUGUAUUGACACAAGGUUUGUACAUAUAUGUAUAUGCUGGGUAGCUUCUUCUGGUUAUUCCUGAAAUCCUUUUGAUGCUCAAACUUACAAUAAAUUAUUUAUUAACAUGU